rnacentral:rRNA from 1 species
UACGUAGGUGGCGAGCGUUGUCCGGAAUUACUGGGCGUAAAGCGCGCGUAGGCGGACCUGCAAGUCGGGGGUGAAAGCCCGAGGCUCAACCUCGGAACUGCCUUCGAUACUGCGGGUCUCGAGUCCGGGAGAGGUGAGUGGAAUUCCGAGUGUAGAGGUGAAAUUCGUAGAUAUUCGGAGGAACACCAGUGGCGAAGGCGGCUCACUGGCUCGGUACUGACGCUGAGGUGCGAAAGCGUGGGGAGCAAACAGG